GCCAACUUGGUACGCCAGAUAUCGAAACGCAAGCUCAGCACAGCACAACCUGUAAGCUAAGCCGGAAAAAAAGAAGACAGGAAGAAGAAGAUGAGCAGAGGAGGGAUGAGUAGCGGCGGUGGCCGGAGCUCUCUAGGCUACCUCUUCGAGCCGGAGGAAACUACUACCCCGUAUCACACGAUGGCAAAAUCCAUCCCGAAAACCGUGAAGACUCCAGAUAUCAAUCGCAGCAGUGCCAAGGAUGAAAACAAGAUGAUGGGAGCUGAAGCCGAUCAAGCCCAAGAACCACCCCUGCUUCCUCCUCUGAAGAGAGAGGCGUCGAACCCGUUACUCUCGUCUAGCAGACCACCUUGCAACAUCUACCAUACCGGCCAGUUAAGCUCCAACAACUCUGGGUUUCUUAUCACUGACCGACCAUCGACAAGGGUACGCUGUGCACCAGGAGGACCGUCGUCGCUUGGGUUUCUGUUCGGAGAGGAGCAUGAGAAAUGAAUGCUUGGAUCUCGUCAUUGCUAAUCUACAUAAGAGUAUGGCUGCAUGUGUAUGCACCUUUCACCACAGUAUCGAAAAGACGAGCUGAUUUACAUAGGAUGGCUGUGGCAUGUGUAUAUUCAUUUAUGAUUGCACGGUUUGUGUGUACAAUCACUUCUGUUCGUUUUUUUUUUGAUUGGGUGUUCCUAUGUAUUUGGUAAAGUGGUAUUGCAGGGGUGUUUGAAAUAUUUGUUUUCAUGUAAAUUGUUGCUGCACAAGCAUAAGUUAUAUGGAAAGUUGAGUCAAAUAUGCUACUA